rnacentral:lncRNA from 1 species
AGAGCGGGCGGGGCAGUGCGGUGACGCGCAGGGAGAGGGUAGCAACAGUUGCUUCGAGACCCGGCGCCAGGCGCCAUAGUGACCGUAGCCCUGGAGACUGUUCCUUGCCAACGGGAGCGGCGCUCAGCCCCGGCGGCCGGAGCACAGCGGAGCCCAGCGGGGAGAGCAGGUGGUACCCAAAAGGCCACAGAGUGGAACAGAGUUCAGUGUGUGACAUUUUUCUCCUCCUUCCAGAUGUGAAAGCCUCCUGACUGCUCAGCAAUCUGCAGAAGUUCUCUUGGGCAGCACUGUUUUCCAUGGCUAUAGCAAAACUUUUUUGAAGUCAAGAUUUAGCUAGUUAAUAGGGAGGAUGCAAAGACUUUCAAGCACGUGUUGUCAGGGCUUUGCCAGUUCGAAAACCUGAAGCUGUGGAACUUUUCCUUAAGAACAAGCACCUGGGGCUGUCACAGGUAAGGUUCUGGGAGGUGAAAUGCAGCACAGCAGUGAAUGGGAAGGCACUGCUCCUCCUGUUCCUACACACCAGAAGGGAUGCGUUCAGGUCUGAGGGAUUCCAAUCCCACUUUUGACACCCGGGGAGUGUUAAAAUCAUUGAGCUAAAUGAGAAAGGGACAGUUUUAUGGAUGGGAGGGAGGGUCACUGAGUUCCUUUGCUGGUGCUCAAGCCUGAUAUCUGUGCACACAAGACUUGUAAUCAGGCUGCUGUCAGCAGCAUAAACCCAUCAGAUCUCUGCUGCUCCAUCUCAGCUGGCUCUUAAGGAAACUCCACUUAAGCAGCCAGCACUGAGAUGUUCCCAGCUCUCUCCUGCCACUGUGAAAAUCACUUUUAAAGAAACAGCAAUGCUUACUGAGCUGCUGUUAUGCAACAGUUAUGUAUAUAUGUCUGUAUAUAUAUAUAUAUUACAUGAAUGAUUCCAUGAAAUCCAAUUAAAGCCUGUGUUUAUAUUUAUAUUACAGUAUAUUAUUAACUACUGCUAAUAAAAGCUGUUUCCAAAUUUGUAUUUUUCCA